rnacentral:rRNA from 1 species
UACGUAGGGGGCAAGCGUUGUCCGGAAUCAUUGGGCGUAAAGAGCGUGUAGGCGGCCCGGUCAGUCCGCCGUGAAAGUCCAGGGCUCAACCCUGGAAUGCCGGUGGAUACUGCCGGGCUGGAGUCCGGAAGAGGCGAGUGGAAUUCCUGGUGUAGCAGUGAAAUGCGUAGAUAUCGGGAGGAAUACCGAUGGCGAAGGCAGGUCUCUGGGCUGACACUGACGCUCAUGCACGAAAGCGUGGGGAGCAAACAGG